rnacentral:lncRNA from 12 species
GGGGGGGGGGGGGGGGGGGGGGGGGGGGGGGGGGGGGGGGGGGGGGGGGGGGGGGGGGGGGGGGGGGGGGGGGGGGGGGGGGGGGGGGGGCGCGGCGCUGGUGGUGGCCGUGGUGGUGGCGGUGGCCGUCCCCACGCUGUGCCACUGCGGGGGACAGGACGGGAAUUCCACGGGGGAGCUGCGGAAAGCUCUGGAUGUCACCAACAGGUCCCUGGCCGUGUCGCGAGGGAGGUGGCAGCGCUGCAGGGAGGAGCUGGUGGGUGUUGGGGACAUGGGGACAGAGCGCUGGGGGGGGUUGGGGGGGGGGGGGGGAGCGCUGGGGGGGGUUUGGGGACAGCUCGAGGGGGGGAUGGCCGCGUUGUCACCGUUGUCACCUCUCAGGGAGCGCUGCAGGGACAAAGCUUGGAGCUGGAGAGGGCGCUGGCCAAUGUCACCCGGCUGGAGGAGCAGAACCGGGCGUUGGGGACAGAGGUGACACGGCAGCGAGAGCAGCUGGGGGAGGAGCAGAGCCUCAGGUGAGACCCCGAGCCAUCCCCACGGCCACUGCCACCCGCUGUCCCUGUUCCCCCUGUCCCUGUCCCUGUCCCUGUCCCUGUCCCUGUCCCUGUCCCUGUCCCUGUCCCUGUCCCUGUCCCUGUCCCUGUCCCUGUCCCUGUCCCUGUCCCCAUCCCCACUGUCCCUGUCCCCAGCAGGUCCCAGCUCCAGCGGCAGAUCCGCCUCCUGCAGGAGCAGCUGCGGGACGUGAGGAGCCAGCGCUCCGCAGGGGACAGGCCCGCGGUGUCCCCCGGUGUCCCCACCCUCCUCCUCCUGCUCGGGAUGCUGCUCCUGUGACACCGAGCACCCCGGGGUCCCCCUGUCCCCUCUGGGGGCACCCAGCCUGGGGGGUGACAGUGGCCUCAGGGUGCUCUGCCUUGUCCCAGUGUCCCCAACUCCACGGGGACAUCCCAGAGUGGCCAUUCCCCUCCAGCCACCACUUGGAGGGAGGGAACACAGGGACACGGGGACACGGGGACAUGGGGACACAGGGACACAGGGACACAGGGACACGGGGACACAGGGACACAGGGACACAGGGACACGGGGACACCUCCUUGUCCCCUUAUCCGGGCUCUAAGCAGUGUCCCCUGUCCCCGUAGGUGGCCGGAGGGGUGGGGA